rnacentral:rRNA from 1 species
GAUGAACGCUGGCGGCGUGCCUAACACAUGCAAGUCGAGCGAAGCGAUUUAGCGGAAGUUUUCGGAUGGAAGUUAAAUUGACUGAGCGGGCGUACGGGUGAAGGUACGCGUAGGUAACCUGCCUCAUACAGGGGGAUAACAGUUAGAAAUGACUGCUAAUACCGCAUAAGCGCACAGCAUCGCAUGAUGCAGUGUGAAAAACUCCGGUGGUAUGAGAUGGACCCGCGUCUGAUUAGGUAGUUGGUGGGGUAACGGCCUACCAAGCCGACGAUCAGUAGCCGACCUGAGAGGGUGACCAGCCACAUUGGGACUGAGACACGGCCCAA